UAGUACAACCGAGGUGCGGAGGGCUGUCGCUGACUUUUUGUCGUGCACGCCCGAAGCGCUCUCACACAAUAUCCAUCUCACCCAUUUGUGUAUCAUCGCGUGGGUCCUGCUUUUUGGCUUGUUCCGAGGAGGGGGGCUCGCGUUUUCACACAAAAACACCCUUUUAAUGCAGUGUAGAAUGUUCUUGCGAUGACUCGCAAUAAAUA
rnacentral:misc_RNA from 1 species